AUUUUCAUCAUUCACACAUUUCAAUCAAAUUUUAUAGGUUUCACAACAACAUUUUUAUCAUCCCCAUAAUUCAACCAAAUUUCAUGGGUUUAACAACAACAUUUUCAUCAUUCCCACAAUUCAAUCAAAUUUCAUGGGUGUAACAUCAACAUUUUCAUCAUUCCCACAAUUCAAUCAAAAUUCAUGUGUUUAACAUCAUCAUUUUCGUCAUUCACACAGUUCAAUCAAAUUUCCUGUUUUUAACAACAACAUUUUCAUCAUAUACACAAUUCAAUCAAAUUUUAUAGGUUUAACAACAACAUUUUCA
rnacentral:lncRNA from 1 species